rnacentral:rRNA from 1 species
AUUGAACGCUGGCGGCAGGCCUAACACAUGCAAGUCGAGCGGAGCGGCGGACGGGUGCGUAAUGACUAGGAAUCUGCCUGGUCGUGGGGGAUAACGUCCGGAAACGGGCGCUAAUACCGCAUCCUAUCAGAUGAGCCUAGGUCGGAUUAGCUAGUGGGUGGGGUAAAGGCCUACCAAGGCGACGAUCCGUACCGGGUCUGAGAGGAUGAUCAGUCACACGGGAACGGAGACACGGUCCAGACUCCUCCGGGAGGAAGCAGUGGGGAAUAUUGGACAAUGGGCGAAAGCCUGAUGCAGAAAGGCCGCGUGGGUGAAGAAGGCUUUCGGAUUGUAAAGCACUUUAAGCGGGGAGGCGUUACCAGCAGAAUAAGCACCGGCUAACUACGUGCCAGCAGCCGCGGUAAUAC